UACGUAGGGUGCUAGCGUUGUUCGGAAUCACUGGGCGUAAAGAGCGCGUAGGCGGUCUGAUAAGUCAGGUGUGAAAUCCCCCGGCUCAACCUGGGAACUGCACCUGAUACUGUUGGGCUUGAGUGCAAGAGGGGAGAGCGGAAUUCCUGGUGGAGCGGUGAAAUGCGUAGAUAUCAGGAGGAAAGCCGGCGGCGAAAGCGGCUCUCUGGGGUGUCUACUGACGCUGAGGCGCGAAAGCUAGGGGAGCAAACGGG
rnacentral:rRNA from 1 species